rfam:Virgibacillus soli strain PL205 scaffold000016, whole genome shotgun sequence.
UAAAAAGGACCAAGUCGGCUAAGCGCUGACGUCUCGUCAGCAACGCCGACACUAGUACAUCCUGUACA